rnacentral:lncRNA from 1 species
GUGACACUGGAAGUGAGAUGGGAAUGGGAUGUGAUUAGAAGAUUUGAAAAUGGUGACAGCAAAGCAAAGAGAGGCUGAGAUCUCAAACUGCAUGAAGCUACUGUAUAAAUCAUACUGAAAAAUUCUGGUGAAUAUAAAAAACAAGCAAAAGUCACUUCAACAUCUUUCCAUUUGAGUUGUGCUAGGAACGGAAAGCUGCUUAUAGUUGAAAUGGAGCAUUUACUUUUGCUUUGGAUUACAUGCAGUAUGGCAGUAACUUUUACUUCGCUGUGCAAAUAACUUUGCAUGAUUCAAAUCUAACAUAAAUGGAGUUACAGAAGAAGUAGCUGACCAUGGGAAUGUUGACAAUGCUGCCAUUUGAGAGAGUACAUAUGCAAUCAGAGGAACUUAGCAUUUACUGUGUGCCAGGCACCGUGCUAAGAGCUUUAGAAACAUUACCUUACUUAAUCCUUACAACUACCCUAAGAGGUAGGAACUACUGUCAUCUUUUUAUAGAUGAGGAAAGGGAGGUUUAGGGAAGUGAAGACAUUUAUUCAAGGUGACUCCGAGGGGAAGAGGCAGAGCACAAAAUUGAGUCCAGGUGUGACUAACUGUAUAAUAGUUCCCUGACUCUUAACCACUAGGCCACUUGAGAAAAAGAUUUUCUAGCUUCUCAGAGUUCAGAGUAUGGUUGGUUAAAAAAGAAAAAAGAAAAAAUGAUUUUUUUCCCUUAAAGCAUUUAAUGAUAACUCUGUUAGCAUGGUGGUAACUGUCUGGUGGCCUAUGCUAGGCACUGCCUGUUUCCCUUUCCUUCCCUCUGCUUAUCUCCUGCUUAAAUCCCAUUCUUCAUCCCCUCUCCCCCAAACCCGUGCAGGCCCACGUGAAUCGGAAUCCUUGCUCUGUUCAGCUGGCUAAGGCGAGUCCCGCAAAGCGCUGGCCUCCAGGUGCUUCUGCCAGGCCUUGUGGUGCAAGGGCCCUGCCUCCUCCCGCUCCAGCAGCAGCCCUGGCGAUGCCCACUGCGUUUCUCAGCUCUGUUGGCAGUGGGGGCAGAAGAGGCUGCCUGAGGCCCCCUCCCAGCAAAAGCCGUGGCCACACCUGCAAUGACUGGGUUGCAGCUCUGAGCUGCAAGCAUUGGCUGUGGCCUGGAGACCAGCCACUGGAUGAGAGAAACGCUGUAGGAUCUGCAGGUUGUCUGGAGGGACUCGGGGUCCCUUGGUGAAAAGAGAAACCACUGCCCUUGAGUCAUAAGUAUGAUCAUCCUUUCUUUUAACAAAGGCACCUGGAGGGAUCUCUCAGGAGAAGAAACAUUCUCUAAUCACUCAGUAUCACACAGGUUUCUCUCCAGAGACCUCAGCCCAGCACCUCUGCAAGGGGAGAGAGGAGAGGCGUCCUUCAGCUCAUUUAUGCCUGUAUUGAUCGCUGCUGCCUCACCCUCGAUGUCGGUGGUUACCAUCCAGUACCUGUUCGAUCUGAUUCCCAUGCAACCAUGUUCUGGAAUUCCCUGAGCACUACUCCACCUGAAGAGCAGCCCCUGUCUCUCUCUGGACAGUAAUGAGGUUUCCUUUGCAGUCUCACACUGGCUUACUAUCCUUCAUCCCGCCAAGCAUCCCCCUGACUACAUUCAUUUCUCUCUAUGCCCGGGUUUAUUCAGCUGUGUUCUCCUCUGCUCUGUGGGCGACAGGAGACUGUCACAGCCCAGUUGGAAUUCACUUUAUCUUUCCCUCUGCCCUAUACGCUGAGCAAACAUGUGCAGUUGGCAUUUCAGCAGUGGAAAUUCUCUGACCCCCUUUGCUGUUGCCUAAAACAGAAACCUCAGUGGCUUUGCAGGAAAUAUUCCACAGUCUCCUGCAACCUAAAUUUGAUAGCUAUUUGUUGAAUAUACAUGAUAUGCCUCUUGCUGUUGUGCCCUCAAGAGGCUUAUGAAGCUGUUGGUGAAAUAAAACAGACACAUGUGAAACAAUUUGAAAACAGCAAAGCACGGUAUACCAUCAGUAUUAUCAUUAGGUGCCAAAAUGCGUGAUACUAAAAUACCAUCAUUAACACUAGUCAUAGAGCUGACACACACUGAGUACCCAGGCACAUCUCAUUUCAACCUCAUGACAAGCCCAUGAGGUGGGCAUUAUUGUCCCCAUUUUAUGCAUCAACAAACUGAGUCACAGAGAAUUUAAUUAGCCUAAGGUCUCUUGGCUGGUAAGACAACCCAGCUCUGUUCAACUCCAAAGUGUGUGCAUUCUCAGUUCUACUCUAUGCUCAACCACUGCCCUGCUUAGCUCCAUAAAGGUGGAGUCUAGGUGUUUUGCUUGUGGCUGUGUUCCAGAGCCAUUUUCCCAGUGCUUAGCAAAGGAAGGGCUCAAUUUAUAUAUAUGUGUGUAUGUACAUAUAUACAUAUUUGCAUGCUGCACCUCUUAUAUACAGAAAGAUCUAUAGGAAAAGCCAGACCAGCUAGAUCAAGUGGUCUGCUUUCUCGAGUCAGAUGUGGGACAAAUGUUGAGGGGUUUGGAGGAUUAUGAAGUCCAAGUUUGGCCAUCCCAGUAGUUGGUGGUGAUGGUGUAGGGUUUGCGUUUGAUCAUGAAGAGUGGAGAAAGAGAAAAGGAAACUAACACAUACAGAAACACACAUACACAUACGCAUGAAACAACAACAACAAAGCAAACCCCACAUACCCCAACACUGCUCCUCUUUUUGAGGUUCUAAAUCCAGUUCUUCCCCCUGGCCUCUUCCUGCCCUGCACAUAGCUCACCUGCCUUGGUGGGACCUGCCUGCUUUUAUGCUGCUUAAGUCUGAAUCACAAAACUGUGAGCCCCUGGAGAGCGGGGCAGGCUUAAUCCUAUUUUUUUUAAUCCCCUGAGAUGGGUUAGUCCUUUGCAGGCUAUAUUUGUUAAAAUGAAUUGAAAUCAGGAGUGUAAGACUUUUUUUUUGAAGGCUUUGUUUCUUUUUCUUGUCUGAUGCUUUUUGGGAAGUAGCAAUGCUGUAGAAAGGAAGAACAGUAGAGACACUCCUCGAUAGUUACAAGGGGAGAUGAAGCCUUGGGUCUGAUCUGUCCCACAUUAGAUUCCCAUUUGUAGAAGAAAAAAAGAGAAAGGAAUGAAGCUACAUCUCCCUCAUCAAGUUAGCCUGGGGGGUCUGCCGCAAAGAGGAUUGAAGGGGAAAUGUUCAAUUUUACCGCUUUGUUCUGCUGGGUUCUUCUCCCCAGGACACUGUUUAGUGCACUGAGUGAAGUAGAAAAUGAAGAGCAGGUGAGCAAUCAGCUGUGAAAAGCUUUAAUGGGCCCGGCACCCCUUUGGGAAUGAGGCUCGGCUCUUGCUAGUGCUGGGGAACAACAUCUCUUUCAGUUCAGUAGGCUUUGUUUUUGUAAUGGGAAUUUAACUCCCUCAGGUGGUCCCGGGAUGGAGGAAUAUUACUGUGCUCAGCAGCAGUGGCGCUGCAGCAUCUUCUAAAGGGAACCAAGGCCACUGUCCCCAAAGGGGCCUCCUGGCUCACUGGGAGGCCUUUGGAAAUCUCAGACUUCCUGGGUGGGGAGGAGAGGAGGAGAUCAUGUGACCCCGUGAACAGCAUGAUGCUGUGAUUACCUGGGGCUUCCUAGCAAGGGCACUGGGACAGGUCCUGGAGCGAAGGGGACUGAGAGCUGCAAUGGAUUCAGACCCAAAGGGGUUGGAACCACCACAGUUCUUGUGGGAGUGAGGAAGUGGCCCAGCCUCUUUUAAGCUCCCUGGGGUGUCCUAUAAAGCAUAAGGCCUCGGCCAGGCGUGGUGGCUCACGC